CUUAAGCAUAUCAAUAAGCGGAGGAAAAGAAACCAACAGGGAUUGCCUCAGUAACGGCGAGUGAAGCGGUAAGAGCUCAAAUUUGAAAGCUGGCUCCUUUCGGGGUCCGCAUUGUAAUUUGUAGAGGAUGCUUCGGGAGCGGUCCCCAUCUAAGUGCCCUGGAACGGGACGUCAUAGAGGGUGAGAAUCCCGUAUGGGAUGGGCGUGUCCGCGCCCGUGUGAAGCUCCUUCGACGAGUCGAGUUGUUUGGGAAUGCAGCUCUAAAUGGGUGGUAAAUUUCAUCUAAAGCUAAAUAUUGGCCGGAGACCGAUAGCGCACAAGUAGAGUGAUCGAAAGAUGAAAAGCACUUUGAAAAGAGAGUUAAAAAGCACGUGAAAUUGUUGAAAGGGAAGCGCUUGCGACCAGACUCGCUCGCGGGGUUCAGCCGGCAUUCGUGCCGGUGUACUUCCCCGCGGGCGGGCCAGCGUCCGUUUGGGCGGUCGGUCAAAGGCCCUCGGAAGGUAACGCCCCUAGGGGCGUCUUAUAGCCGAGGGUGCAAUGCGACCUGCCUAGACCGAGGAACGCGCUUCGGCUCGGACGCUGGCAUAAUGGUCGUAAACGACCCGUCUUGAAACACGGACCAAGGAGUCUAACAUCUACGCGAGUGUUCGGGUGUCAAACCCGUGCGCGAAGUGAAAGCGAACGGAGGUGGGAACCCUCACGGGUGCACCAUCGACCGAUCCUGAGAUCUCCUGAUGGAUUUGAGUAAGAGCGUAUCUGUUGUGACCCGAAAGAUGGUGAACUAUGCCUGAAUAGGGCGAAAACAGAGGAGACUCUGGUGGAGGCUCGUAGCGGUUCUGACGUGCAAAUCGAUCGUCGUAUUUGAGUAUAGGGGCGAAAGACUACUCGAACCAUCUGGUAGCUGGGUCCUGCCGAAGAUCUCCCCCCCACGAAAAAU
rnacentral:rRNA from 1 species